rnacentral:rRNA from 1 species
UACCAUGCAGUCGAGCGGAGAUGAGGUGCUUGCACCUUAUCUUAGCGGCGGACGGGUGAGUAAUGCUUAGGAAUCUGCCUAUUAGUGGGGGACAACAUUCCGAAAGGAAUGCUAAUACCGCAUACGUCCUACGGGAGAAAGCAGGGGAUCUUCGGACCUUGCGCUAAUAGAUGAGCCUAAGUCGGAUUAGCUAGUUGGUGGGGUAAAGGCCUACCAAGGCGACGAUCUGUAGCGGGUCUGAGAGGAUGAUCCGCCACACUGGGACUGAGACACGGCCCAGACUCCUACGGGAGGCAGCAGUGGGGAAUAUUGGACAAUGGGGGGAACCCUGAUCCAGCCAUGCCGCGUGUGUGAAGAAGGCCUUAUGGUUGUAAAGCACUUUAAGCGAGGAGGAGGCUACUGAGACUAAUACUCUUGGAUAGUGGACGUUACUCGCAGAAUAAGCACCGGCUAACUCUGUGCCAGCAGCCGCGGUAAUACAGAGGGUGCGAGCGUUAAUCGGAUUUACUGGGCGUAAAGCGUGCGUAGGCGGCUUUUUAAGUCGGAUGUGAAAUCCCCGAGCUUAACUUGGGAAUUGCAUUCGAUACUGGGAAGCUAGAGUAUGGGAGAGGAUGGUAGAAUUCCAGGUGUAGCGGUGAAAUGCGUAGAGAUCUGGAGGAAUACCGAUGGCGAAGGCAGCCAUCUGGCCUAAUACUGACGCUGAGGUACGAAAGCAUG